rnacentral:sRNA from 1 species
GAUCAGGAAGGGUCACAGCAGCCAUGGUAGGUGAAUGGAGCAGCUUUUCCUUCCUUUCCUGCUUUCAGAGCCUACUCAGUGCCAAACUUACAUCAAAAGCUCAGCAAGUACUGAUUGAUUAAUCCCUCUUGCCUACGGCAAAAUGGCCCUGAGGGCUAUCUCUCAGCUCGGCACUGGCCUCUGAGCUGUCUGCCAGGCAGGGCUCUAGAAAAGAGUCCCAAGGAAGAGAAUAAGGUUCCCCAAAUCAGCUUCACACUGCAACAAGGAGAGAGGAGGAAAUGGUGGGAGACUGACCUGAGGAACAAGGCUUGUUAGAGUGCUGUGCAAGAUGUCUGGUAGGGGCCCCCUUUGCUUCCCUGGUGGCCACUGGAUUGUGUUUCUUUGGGGUGGCACUGUUCUGUGGCUGUGGACAUGAAGCCCUCACUGGCACAGAAAAGCUAAUUGAGACCUAUUUCUCCAAAAACUACCAGGACUAUGAGUAUCUCAUCAAUGUGAUCCAUGCCUUCCAGUAUGUCAUCUAUGGAACUGCCUCUUUCUUCUUCCUUUAUGGGGCCCUCCUGCUGGCUGAGGGCUUCUACACCA